rnacentral:lncRNA from 1 species
GGAGAUGUGAGCAACAGCAGGCAAAAAUUUCUGCUCCCUGUUCUCACUGCUGUGCCUGCAUCACGGCAGCCUUGGACUCCAUCUGUAGAAUAACUGAACAGCACUGGUUGGAAAGGACUUCGAAAGAUCAUCAGGUUCGAACUCCUGUGGGAAAAGGAAGUCUAGAUGAGAUUAUCUAGCACCCUGUCCAACUGCAUCUUGAAAUCUUCUGAUGAUGGCAACUCUGCCAUGUCCCUGGGGACACUGUUACAGGGACUGAUGUUAUUGUGAAAUACUUCUUUCUAAUAUCAAGAUGAAACCUCUCCUGAGGAAGUCCGUACCUGUCGCCUCUUGUCUUCUCCACGUGGCUCCUUGUGAAGAGAGGGUUUCCAUGCUUUUUGUACCUACUCUUUGAGUCCUGAAACACUGUGAGGAGGCCCCUACGUGUCUUAUCGAGGAUCAAAAGACCUGACUCCUUCAGUCUAUCCCCAUGGGGCAGGUUCUCCAGCACUCUGAUCACCUUCAUGGCCCUACUUUUGACCCUCUCUCAUCUGUCCUUGUCUUUUUUGAAUGUGGGGACCAGAACUGGACACAAUACUCCAGGUGCAGCCUGACAAUGUGCCCCAAACUGGUGUAUCACGUGCCACUGAGGGGAUCAGGGAAGAGUCAAGCUCUGAAGAAUAAAAGGAGAGUUUUGUUUAAGCCAUAAACUAUUUUGUGAGUUUAUGCAGCACUCUGGCAUUUGAGAAAUAAAGCUGACAGGCUGCUAUGGUCCUGACAUUUCAAUGUAUUUUCUGAUAGACUGCAAUCAUAAAGAGGCCCAGACACACACGGGUGCAUUCAUUUUUCCCUUGAACUGGAAUAAAUCAGGAGCAAUGGAAUUACAUCCAAGUAAGCCCUGGCAUAGGUAGCAUUGAAACAAGGCUCAUUUAACAGCGAGAUGUUAUGAAGGCUGUUAUUAACCCUUCCCACAGAAACUAAUCUGUACCCUUUUUCAGUGCAACAGGAGAAGCUGAUUGUGAUACACAGCCAAAGACCUAAUUCAAACUCCGUUAUGCGCUGCUUAUGAUUUUAACCCUUCAGGCUGAAAUUCUCCAUGCCUGAUCUGGGUCUCGGGCUUGCUGUCUUCUGGGGAAAGCUGCAGGUGGGGGUGAGUCAGCCAUUUCCCAGACGGCAACGUGGACGGAAUGCAUUGUUUUGUCAGUGUUAGGCAACAAAACAGCCUUUCCCAGCCCUGUGAUUGAAAAAUUCGAAGUCUCUGGGGUCACAAAUGAGCCUUAACGACGCUCCCUGGGGUGGGGAGUGGAGGGUCUUUCCGGUCUGCCCCUGUGACCCGGAGCCGCGGCUUCAGCUCUGCCGCCUCAUUUCUCUCCCGUUCUGCCUGGAGGUUUGUCCUGCUGGCAGGAGGUCGGCUGCACGGAGCUGCCUCUCCGGUUGUGUCCUCAGGGCCUGGCUCGUCCCUUAACGCGUCUGAGGACGCCGAGGGAGCCCCUCACCCUUCUUCUCGUGCUGCUCAGAAGAAACUACAGGCAAGAAGACUCCAGUAAAGACAAGGCACAUAGUCACAAAUAAAGGAAGACUUCAACAGUAACAGCAAAAUUAAAGUUCUGUGCCCUCAUGGUGGCUCCUUUUUGGCUGGUGUCCUCACUAACAAAUCAGACUUCUCUUGGCUGUAAAAGCUCCUGGGGGCUUGCAUGAACACUUGGCUGUUUUGGAGGGAAGUGUUACUUCGUUAUGUAGAAGAUGACAACAUCGCUUCAGAUCUGGAUGUAGACGGCCUUGGAGUUGUUGACAGUUGAAUCAAAAGACUAUCUGGCCUGGAGAAGCUGGAGGCUUGGUUUCCAGAAAGAAGAGUUGGUGCUGAGAGGUGGGUUCCAGGGAGAAAAUGAGGCCCAAAGAGAACAUGAAGAUCCUGACUGAAGGACAGGUCUGGGAAGUGAGGGAAGAUUCUGGAGGUGAGGUAAAUGCAUGGAGACCAAUGACAGGAGAUGCCCAGCACCAAAUAAUCGUGCCUGAGACCAGAAACUGCAAGCAGAAUCGUAGCAGAAUCCAGCAGGAGUUUCUGCCCAACCUGCUCUAGCCAACGACCUGCCUGCAGGGAAAUCAAGACCUUGGGAACAUCAUGGGGAAGCUGUAACAGCCGUAGAGAAUAAGCAUAGAAAAAAACAAACCCUGCUGAAGUUUUUGCAGAGGUGAUAUUCUUUGUUUUCCCAAGGAUUCUGGAUGAACCUUAAGGCGAGCUAUGAGAUGGAGAAGGAAGCAGAGAGGGGGAAGUGCUGCUGUUAAUUUGGCAUUCAUCUUAAGGAGCUGAAUGGCAGCCAGAAGUAGUGCAGAUGGCAUCUCAAUUCCCUCUUCUUUUGAAGAAAAUGUAUUUUUAAUACAGUAACUUUUUGUUUCCAUUAAGACAUUUUUAGCUGUGGAAUAAGGACAGUUAAAGGCAGUAGUUAAACCACCAGCUUUUAGAUGACAUUUCUGAAAGCAGUUUAUUUCCCAGAGUGAUAGAUGUAUGAAACAUAUGG